rnacentral:tRNA from 1 species
UUAUAAUUAGUUUAUAAAAACAUUAAAUUGCAAAUUUAAAAUUAAUUAUUAAUAAUUAUUAUAUU